UGAGGAAUCUUCCACAAUGGGCGAAAGCCUGAUGGAGCAACGCCGCGUGAAGGAUGAAGGCCCUCGGGUCGUAAACUUCUUUUAUAAGUGAAGAAUAUGACGGUAACUUAUGAAUAAGCACCGGCUAACUACGUGCCAGCAGCCGCGGUCAUACGUAGGGUGCAAGCAUUAUCCGGAGUGACUGGGCGUAAAGAGUUGCGUAGGUGGUUUGUUAAGUAGAUAGUGAAAUCUGGCGGCUCAACCGUACAGGCUAUUAUCUAAACUGGCAAACUCGAGAAUGGUAGAGGUAACUGGAAUUUCUUGUGUAGGAGUGAAAUCCGUAGAUAUAAGAAGGAACACCAAUGGCGUAGGCAGGUUACUGGACCAUUUCUGACACUGAGGCACGAAAGCGUGGGGAGCGAACCGG
rnacentral:rRNA from 4 species